UACGUAGGGGGCAAGCGUUGUCCGGAUUUAUUGGGCGUAAAGAGCGUGUAGGCGCCAGACAGGUCCGUUGUGAAAACUGGAGGCUUAACCUCCAGACGUCGAUGGAAACCGUCUGGCUAGAGUCCGGAAGAGGAGAGUGGAAUUCCUGGUGUAGCGGUGAAGUGCGCAGAUAUCAGGAAGAACACCCGUGGCUAAGGCGGCUCUCUAGUACGGUACUGACGCUGAGACGCGAAAGCGUGGGGAGCAAACAGG
rnacentral:rRNA from 1 species